UCCGACCUCAGAUUGGACGAGAUUACCCGCUGAAUUUAAGCAUAUAAAUAAGCGGAGGAAAAGAAACUAACCAGGAUUCCCU
rnacentral:rRNA from 1 species